UAUUGAGCCAUUCAAUAAUCUAUUAUCCAGUUUAAUAACUGACUUAGCAAAGUCAAGUGAUUAAUUUAUAUGCGAUAGAAAUAUUAUUUCUAUUAUUUACUAGAAGUCGAGAAAUUAUUCCGACUGCAACGCAGAUUAAAUAUACGGAUUUAAUCUAGAUAUUAAAUGGCUUGUGAAGUGAAUUAAAUCUACUUAUUUAAUUUAUACAUGAAUAAUGAGCAUAAGCCAAUAUUUGAUUGCAAACACGCGAUUAAAUAGUAGAUGCACUGAGUAACCAAGACACAAAGAUUUAUUAUUAUUUACAAUUAGAACUUCAACCACCACUAUCAAUCAAUGCAGUAAUUGAUUUUUUUUCUGAGUACAAGAAGAAAUCUUUGCAUAUAAGCUCACCACUGGCAGCAAGAGUGACGCAGUACAUUUGGGUAAAAAAAUAAAACUCUCGAAUUUGCUGGCUUUAGGAGGAAGAUCAUGCUUAAGACAAUCAUCUUCCACUAUCUAAUUAUUUAUCAACCACUACCUCCACUUAACAAAAAUGAGACCUACGCACUAGCCUGCACCACCACCCUUUUUCUCCACCAAACUUUCCACUUACUUCAUUCCUUCUCUCAUACACCAAGCACCAGAAAGGGAGAUGAAGUUCCUGCUGCCAACUGCCAAGUAUCGAGAGUUUCUUCUCCAUUGAAUUCAUUAUCAACAACAGCAGCUACCAACACAAAAUACUCAAGGUCAAGCGCGAGAGUAAGAACUACUCAAGGAGUCACAGUACUUAGCAAAACUUUGCUAUCAGGUUGAGCUGUGAUGGGCGAUGAAGUGUUGCUGAGUGGAGUUUUUGUCGAACUUAAAGUAGGCUCAGAAAGGAUACAUGUCUUCAUACAUGUAUCACAGUUAUGCUUUCCGCUGUAAACACUGAUUAUUUCAGUUACGCCUUCCGUUGCAAACUCUGAUAAUGUUUUAGCCAAGCCCCUAAUGAUGCCUUUUUCCUUUUAAGGAAUAUAAUGCGUAUACAAGUUCUUUGAGUACCCUUUUUAUGCGAACUAUGCCUUUUUCCUUUUUAAGGAAUAUUUCACGCGUAUUCAAGCUCUUUGAGUAUUCUUUUAUGCACCCCUUUCUAAACCCGCUUCUUAAUUUCCCUUCCCCAGUCAUGGUUUUCCCGGAUUAAUUAUCCUUAAUUAAGGCCGGUCGUGACAGAGUGGUAUCAGAGCAGUUCGUUUGCUCUGAGCCUAAGAGUUUAUUUAAGCCAAACUUAGAAUGUAUCACUAAAAUGCCUAGAGUUCAAUCGACAAAGCUCAGCACUUCGUCGCAUCACACUCAACGAAGCAGAAUGGUAAGCUCUUCCAAGUUGUGAGUUAAUGUUUACGAAAAGUGCAAAGUAGCGUAAUAACAAAGUGUGUAACUGUCAAUAGCUAUGUUAUGUUGUUCGAAUGAAAUGAUUUACGCAAGCGCGAUUAAGUAUGCCUAUGGAAUGAAUCCAUAUGAACAUAGAGCUAUUAAGAUAUGAGAUCACCACUACGACAGAACAUAGAAGCAAACAUAGAAGAAAUUAGAUUGUAUCUUUUAGUGGCUAUAGUGAAGGCAGCAAGAUAAGUGAUACGUAUAGAAUAAUUCUUAAGCUCAUGAUUUUAUAGCCGCUAUGAAUCUUCAUGACUUAUGCCUAAGUAUCCAAUUUAGAUGAUGUGAUAUUAUAUGCUUAAGAAUUGAUAUGACUCAUGGAUUUGAGAUGCUAAGGACCCUUAAAGCUUACUACAUCAAUGCAGUCAUUGGAGUUAUGACUUGUUUACAAGUUAGAAUAAUUUGACCUUUACAAGAAUUCUUUAGAGGUUUGUAUUAGAUUAUGCUAGAGUGUACUAAUUGACACAUCCCUGCUAUCAGAAUGCCGCCUAAGAGAGGACGCCCUGCGAGAAACAAUAACAAUCGCAGAAACCGUAACGCUGUACCAGAAGAACCACAAGAUGCUCGAGGACAUAAUCCAUCCCCUCCGCCCCCGACUAGGAGAGUCGAAGAACUCUUUUUAAGGCAAAAGCCCACCUACGUUUGACGGAACGAGUGAACCGGCUGAAGCUGAGAUUUGGGUGCGUGCAAUGGAACGCAUUUUCAACUUUCUACGUUGUACUGAUGAGGAACGCCUAUCUUGCGUCUCAUUCCAGCUAACAGGAUCAGCAGAUUUUUGGUGGGAAGCACGACGAAAAAUUCUGACACCUGAACAAUGGGCAAGUUAUACUUGGGAAGAUUUUAAGACAGGAUUAUAUGAUAAAUAUAUUCCGAAAAGCUAUAGGAAGAAGAAAGAAGCUGAGUUCUACGAGUUGAAGCAAGGAAAGAAAUCUGUGGUUGAAUACGACAAGGAAUUCUGCAACCUGUCUAGGUUUGCUCCACAACAAGUGGACACAGAUGAGAAGAUGGCAGAGAAAUUUUGUGCCGGUCUGCGACACGAAAUUAGGAUGACUCUAGCAAGCCACGGAGGACUCUCAUAUACGGAGUCUCUGAACAGGGCACUUGACAUUGAAGCUGCAAUGCCGUCAGACAAGUCUGCCCCACCAUUGAUCUCAACGCCAAAUGAUCCACCAGUAGCCUCACAUACUCUCAAAGGGAAGCGCAAGUGGGACAACAACGAAGACAAUAUCAAUCAGACUAGUAAGAAAGUGUGGCAAGAAAAGGAACGGGCCGAACAAUUUAUUCAACCAAGGUACGAGGCACGAACUAACCUCGAGUCAACUGGGGGUAGCCAAAGUCAGAGAGGAAUUUCACCUUGCCCAAAUUGUGGUAAGAUGCAUAGGGGUAUCUGUCGAGCUGGAACUAACGGUUGUUACAAUUGUGGCCAAAAAGGUCACUACUCCACGCAAUGCCCCAACAGACAACGAGGUUCAGCAAUUGGGAACACCCGCACCCCCUUGCCAGCAAUACAUGGACACUUGCGAAAUCAGUCUCAAUCACAUCAGUGAAAAUCUUAUGGAGACACCGCAGACAAGAGAAGCUACGCGGGAACUUGAAGACAAGAUGAAGGAAAAAUACCCCGAACUGUUUUAGCAGAGAUAUACAAAUUUCGGGACGAAAUUUUUGUUAAGAGGGGUAGUAUGUAGUAGCCCGCUCUUUUAUUUAUGAUUAAAACUAGUAAAUGCAAUUUUUUUUUAAUGAAUCCAGUUUAUGGUCCUGAUUUUUUUUUUUUUCUUCAGAAACAGAGUUAUUAUUUUAGCUUUAUAUAUAUAUUUUUUUUUUUUUACGUAUGAGAAAAACGCGACGAGGAUUAUUGAGCCAUUCAAUAAUCUAUUAUCCAGUUUAAUAACUGACUUAGCAAAGUCAAGUGAUUAAUUUAUAUGCGAUAGAAAUAUUAUUUCUAUUAUUUACUAGAAGUCGAGAAAUUAUUCCGACUGCAACGCAGAUUAAAUAUACGGAUUUAAUCUAGAUAUUAAAUGGCUUGUGAAGUGAAUUAAAUCUACUUAUUUAAUUUAUACAUGAAUAAUGAGCAUAAGCCAAUAUUUGAUUGCAAACACGCGAUUAAAUAGUAGAUGCACUGAGUAACCAAGACACAAAGAUUUAUUAUUAUUUACAAUUAGAACUUCAACCACCACUAUCAAUCAAUGCAGUAAUUGAUUUUUUUUCUGAGUACAAGAAGAAAUCUUUGCAUAUAAGCUCACCACUGGCAGCAAGAGUGACGCAGUACAUUUGGGUAAAAAAAUAAAACUCUCGAAUUUGCUGGCUUUAGGAGGAAGAUCAUGCUUAAGACAAUCAUCUUCCACUAUCUAAUUAUUUAUCAACCACUACCUCCACUUAACAAAAAUGAGACCUACGCACUAGCCUGCACCACCACCCUUUUUCUCCACCAAACUUUCCACUUACUUCAUUCCUUCUCUCAUACACCAAGCACCAGAAAGGGAGAUGAAGUUCCUGCUGCCAACUGCCAAGUAUCGAGAGUUUCUUCUCCAUUGAAUUCAUUAUCAACAACAGCAGCUACCAACACAAAAUACUCAAGGUCAAGCGCGAGAGUAAGAACUACUCAAGGAGUCACAGUACUUAGCAAAACUUUGCUAUCAGGUUGAGCUGUGAUGGGCGAUGAAGUGUUGCUGAGUGGAGUUUUUGUCGAACUUAAAGUAGGCUCAGAAAGGAUACAUGUCUUCAUACAUGUAUCACAGUUAUGCUUUCCGCUGUAAACACUGAUUAUUUCAGUUACGCCUUCCGUUGCAAACUCUGAUAAUGUUUUAGCCAAGCCCCUAAUGAUGCCUUUUUCCUUUUAAGGAAUAUAAUGCGUAUACAAGUUCUUUGAGUACCCUUUUUAUGCGAACUAUGCCUUUUUCCUUUUUAAGGAAUAUUUCA